rnacentral:lncRNA from 1 species
GUGCAUCUUUCCUGCCUCCUCGGUGUGUGUAUGUCUAUAUAAAUCAAAGCACUUAUGUGCAUAUAUACAUACAUAUGGGCAAUAAUUGUGCUUGGAAGACAAAAAUAAAAAGGUGAAUAUUUGGAGAGAGUUUCACUAAGAAGUCAAGGCCAAGAAAUGGGACCAUUCUUUUUUAUGGGAGGGAAAGGAGCUUCUGGGUUGCCUGGAGUUGAAUUUCCAAGGCAUGUCUGAAGAACUGUUUUGGCCAUGCUCUUUUUUGCACUGACAGCAUCUGUUCUGUGCUCUAGCAAAUAAACACGGCAAAAAGCAAGAAGGAAGCAAUGAAAAGCACUUAAAUGAGUCAAGUUUCUGCCUUCAUAUAGACGGUUAAAGUUAUUUCCAGAGGAACUAAGGCUAAAAAAACAUCAAACCAACAAACCCAAAGCAUAGCCAGAAUCUAAUUUUCCAUCCCAUUUGCCUUCCCCCUCAAGAAAGCACAUCUAAGGAAACCAAUGACAAAGAAUGUGGCUGCAUAAUAUUGAUCCAACACAACCAUGCAAUGUCAUGGUCAUCACAAAAGAAAAAUAUUCAUGGUAACUGUUGCUGAACAUUUGUAGUUACCAUUCAAAACCACCCCAGGUGAAAUCCUGGAUUUGAGCCUCAAAUUCGUCUCCUCUAGUCAGCUGAAUUCUGGAACCUUAAGGACAAUAGUGACCCCUAAUCAACAAUGCUGCACACUGUAAUGUUUAGGGCAACUCAGCAAUUGUCUGAUGAGCAAAGUCCCGUUUGCCAACAAAGGAUGGCGAACUAUCAAAAGCCAAAAUGUUCAUUCAACAUAAGCACUUCUUAACCAUUAACCUUUGGUUUAAGGUCCAAGUUAUUAUGAUUCAUGAUAGUUUAGCCAUAAGGGGGCUAGAAGAGCACACGUGUGAGAAAUAACGAUUCUGAUGACCAACAAGCAGGGGUAACCGUGACCGUCACAGUCACUUCAUGAGGAAUAGAAAAUGUGGGCUUAAAAAAGUAAAGUUCAAGAGCACAUAUUCAGACAUAGCUGAUGGAUCAAAAGAUAAUUAACUGAAGCAUUUGUGAAUCAAAAGUGAUCCCAAAAGGCUGAUUUGUAUUCUAUUCUUACAAAGUUAAAUCUUUUUGAAUUACAUGAACUAACUGGGAUUUUCACAGCACAACAAAUAAUUACAAAUUAUACAGAAGAGAGAAGCAAAAUAAAAGAGAAAUGCAAUCAAUAAAAGAUUAUCAAGACUUUCUCAGUUCAAAGGAGGACUUGUUCACACAGGAAGACAAUUAAGACAAGUCAAAAGCAAAAUUAAUAGACUUUCACUACAAGCCAGUUUCUCCCCGUUAUCUUAGAGAGUCUUUGGAGAAGCCAGAAUAACAGGCCCUUGGGAUAUAAAUCAGUGCAUUAAGUAAGGCCCUACAUGCUACCCAACUUCUCUGGACAACUUAUGUCCUAGGAGAAUCACACAUUUGUGUGACAAUGAUAGUAGAAAGGGUCAAUAAACUGCUCUUUUAGAAAAAAGAAACAACAUAAGUAAAAACAGAAGGACAGAAAGGAUCCAUUGUUUUUGUUGCUGGUCAUGCUUUUGCUCCCCUUUAUACUUAGGAGAAUUACAACUUCCACUAUACUCAAUGACCCUGGAAGAGUCUAAACGCUUCCUUCCAAGAAGAUAAUCAGCUGUUUACUCCUGAACAAUAAUAUCAAAUACACCCAUUACAAAAUCCUGGAGAAUUUUGAGGGAGUAGUCUGCACUUUGCCAGUAAGCUGAAUCACUAGGCUUCUCGUCCACUCCUACCUAAGGAGACCAGGAUGCAUGCAACAACCGACUUCUAUCCUUUAAUAAGGUUCUAGGCUUUCAGUAGCUGCCGGGGCCAUGUGGAAGAGGAUCAGGGAAUGAGAUUACCUCUGAGAUUACCACUUAUAAUAACAAUUGAGAGAAGGUCAAGAUACGGAUGGGCAAAAACGAGGUCAUCAUAAUCUUUGAUUUGACCUCGAAUUGACAAAGGGAGUUGGAGAACUCUGUCUCUGUCCAUAGAUGUGGAGAUGAUAGAUCAUCUCUGGGCCAUUGAAGUAAUAGAGUGAGUGACUUGCUGGGGUCAUUCCUCUUCCCCACCCAUAUUAACCAAAAGAACAGUGAUAUUUUCAGAUUUAUGUACAUCCCGACCAAUCCAGAUUUUUAUGUGUCUGUUUUUAAGUGAAAAACAUACAUAAAAUCAAAUCACUUACCAAGAUAGGCUGUGGCCAAAAAAAAGGAGAGAAAAAAGCUGGAUAAGUUAGAUAACGCAGGUAUUUUAAAUACUCUUAUCCCACCACAAACCUGGAUUCUUUAAUCUUCUAACUGGGCCAUUGUGAGCAAAAACCAGAUGCCUCAAGGAACUCUGUGGCAUCUAAAAGGAAGACUUUCCCAUGACCACUCAACUCCACUCUGCCAUGAUCAAGCAGGGGCAGGCCUCUGGAGCGCUGACUAAACUUUUGAGUUUUUCUUAGCAUUAUAUUUUAAAGCGUUUCCAAUCAUUUUGGAGAUAUAGUUCUUAUUUUUUUAAUUAUAAUGCCCUUGUAGUAACUGAUCUGAUAACAAAGAUUCCCAUUGGUACCCUCCAGGGGUAUAAAGGCAAACUUUAUAGGGAUGAAUAUAUUUUUAAUAUAAAAAUUAGCUUAAAAUAUACAGGCUAAAUCCCUGUUAGGGUUAGCCUGCCAAUCAAUGGUAUAACCCCCUUCCCCAGCUAACUCCCUUUUGGGGUUAGUCUGCUAAACUUCUCUAUGGGUUUAGCCUGCCACUUAAUGGCAUGUGUCCCCUCAGAGCUAGUGUAUUCCAUUUAAUGGCAACCUCCUUCUGGUUAAUUGCUGUCUGACAAGACAGGGCUGACGAUUCCUGGUCAAACACAGAUAAUGAAUUCAAUUUUAAUAUGAAGAAACAACCAAAGUUGAACUUGACUAAAAUAAUCGAUACUUUUCAGCAAAUAAGAAAAAGCAUAGAUGAAAAGAGUAGUACUGUCCAUCCAGAACAUAGAUCUUUUCUUGGGCACGUUCAGUCAGAUAGUGAAAAAGAAACUAUGACAGGUCCCCUGCUGAAGCCUUCAGCCCCAGUGCGGCGCUCCCCCUCAUCCUGUCCAUCCUUCACCUGGCUUCUUUUCAGAGUCUUCCCGUGUGAUGUCUGCUCUUCUGGCCUGUAAUAAGAUGGACAUUGCUUCAAGGAAGAACCAACAAUCAGAAGAGGCAGAAGAGGAAGAAAAGGAAGAUCGUGUAAUGAAAGCAGAAAACAAACACUUCAUAAAAUUCCAAAGCUUCCCAAUGAACUUCAUGCUCGCAGUACAUCAGAGAAAUGUACGGUGAGAAAAGAUAUGUCAGCAUAUCUUGGUAGAGGAAAAAGAUUCAGA